AGGUGUUAAGUGCUGCAGGUGGGCAAGUGGGGCAAUUAAGAGAAUUGGUUUGGAGAACAAAGACAAUCUUGGGGGGAGCAAGUUUUUGAGUUUGAGGGAACUGUUUAGACCACACUUUUCUGAAUGAACUAGAGCUCGCAAUGGUUCAGUUAACCUGUUAAAUACACGACUGUUUGGACUCAACACUGUAUGAGGACUGUGUACUUUACUGAAGAAGAGGGUUUCUGUUCAAGUGAAGGAGCUGGACUGCACUUGGUAGUCAUUAAGUGGACUGGUUUAAAUCUGAAGUUGGAGGUAUUUUGUGAUUGAGAAAUGCAUUUGGAUUAAGCUGUUUAAGAUGCCGAGCUGCGUGCAUGUGCAGCGCCCUGGCAGUAUGAACGUGUGUUAGGC